AGAGUUUGAUCAUGGCUCAGGAUGAACGCUGGCGGCGUGCCUAACACAUGCAAGUCGAACGGAUCCAUAUUGAAACCUAGUGAUGUAUGGAUUAGUGGCGGACGGGUGAGUAACGCGUGGAUAACCUGCCGUAUACAGGGGGAUAACACUUAGAAAUAGGUGCUAAUACCGCAUAAGCGCACGAUUCCGCAUGGAACAGUGUGAAAAACUCCGGUGGUAUACGAUGGAUCCGCGUCUGAUUAGCCAGUUGGCGGGGUAACGGCCCACCAAAGCGACGAUCAGUAGCCGGCCUGAGAGGGUGAACGGCCACAUUGGGACUGAGACACGGCCCAAACUCCUACGGGAGGCAGCAGUGGGGAAUAUUGCACAAUGGGGGAAACCCUGAUGCAGCGACGCCGCGUGAGUGAAGAAGUAUUUCGGUACGUAAAGCUCUAUCAGCAGGGAAGAAAAUGACGGUACCUGACUAAGAAGCCCCGGCUAACUACGUGCCAGCAGCCGCGGUAAUACGUAGGGGGCAAGCGUUAUCCGGAUUUACUGGGUGUAAAGGGAGCGUANACGGCAGCGCAAGUCUGGAGUGAAAUGCCGGGGCCCAACCCCGGAACUGCUUUGGAAACUGUGCAGCUCGAGUGCAGGAGAGGUAAGC
rnacentral:rRNA from 1 species